GCAUUGCUGAGGAGUCCCACAAUAGAACGAAACAGUCGUCCAGUGC
rnacentral:hammerhead_ribozyme from 1 species